rnacentral:rRNA from 1 species
AUUGAACGCUGGCGGCAGGCCUAACACAUGCAAGUCGAACGGUAACAGGAAACAGCUUGCUGUUUCGCUGACGAGUGGCGGACGGGUGAGUAAUGUCUGGGAAACUGCCUGAUGGAGGGGGAUAACUACUGGAAACGGUAGCUAAUACCGCAUAACGUCGCGAGACCAAAGAGGGGGACCCUCGGGCCUCUUGCCAUCGGAUGUGCCCAGAUGGGAUUAGCUUGUUGGUGGGGUAACGGCUCACCAAGGCGACGAUCCCUAGCUGGUCUGAGAGGAUGACCAGCCACACUGGAACUGAGACACGGUCCAGACUCCUACGGGAGGCAGCAGUGGGGAAUAUUGCACAAUGGGCGCAAGCCUGAUGCAGCCAUGCCGCGUGUAUGAAGAAGGCCUUCGGGUUGUAAAGUACUUUCAGCGGGGAGGAAGGGAGUAAAGUUAAUACCUUUGCUCAUUGACGUUACCCGCAGAAGAAGCACCGGCUAACUCCGUG